UACCUGCAGCUCGAGUGGUAACCGCUUUUAUUGGGCCUAAAGCGUCCGUAGCCGGUUUGGUAAAUAUCUGGGUAAAUCGUGAGGCUUAACUUCACGAAUUUCGGAUAGACUGCCAGACUUGGGAUCGGGGGAGGUCAGAGGUACUCCAGGGGUAGCGGUGAAAUGUUGUAAUCCUUGGAGGACCACCGGUAGCGAAGGCGUCUGACUAGAACGAGUCCGACGGUGAGGGACGAAGCCCUGGGGCGCAAACCGGAUUAGAUACCCGGGUAGUCCAGGGUGUAAACAAUGUGGGCUUUGUAUUGGAGGUCCUACGUGGGCGUCCAGUGCGGAAGAGAAGUUGUUAAGCCCACCGCCUGGGAAGUACGGUCGCAAGGCUGAAACUUAAAGGAAUUGGCGGGGGAGGACAGCAACGGGAGGAGCGUGCGGUUU
rnacentral:rRNA from 1 species